rnacentral:rRNA from 1 species
GUUGGGUAGGGGAGCGUUCUGUAAGCCUGCGAAGGUGUACUGUGAGGUAUGCUGGAGGUAUCAGAAGUGCGAAUGCUGACAUAAGUAACGAUAAUGCGGGUGAAAAACCCGCACGCCGGAAGACCAAGGGUUCCUGUCCAACGUUAAUCGGGGCAGGGUGAGUCGACCCCUAAGGCGAGGCUGAAAAGCGUAGUCGAUGGGAAACGGGUUAAUAUUCCCGUACUGGUGGUAACUGCGAUGGGGGAACGGAGAAGGCUAGGUUGUCCGGGCGACGGUCGUCCCGGUUCAAGCAGGUAGGCAGAGUGAUUAGGCAAAUCCGGUCACUUAAUGCUGAGAUGUGAUGACGAACCACCAAGGUGGUGAAGCAAUUGAUGCCCCGCUUCCAGGAAAAGCCUCUAAGCUUCAGGUUACCAACAAUCGUACCCCAAACCGACACAGGUGGUCAGGUAGAGAAUACUCAGGCGCUUGAGAGAACUCGGGUGAAGGAACUAGGCAAAAUGGUGCCGUAACUUCGGGAGAAGGCACGCUGGCGGUAGGUAAAGUCCCUCGCGGACGGCGCCCAAGCCAGUCGAAGAUACCAGCUGGCUGCAACUGUUUAUUAAAAACACAGCACUGUGCAAACACGAAAGUGGACGUAUACGGUGUGACGCCUGCCCGGUGCUGGAAGGUUAAUUGAUGGGGUUAGCGCAAGCGAAGCUCCUGAUCGAAGCCCCAGUAAACGGCGGCCGUAACUAUAACGGUCCUAAGGUAGCGAAAUUCCUUGUCGGGUAAGUUCCGACCUGCACGAAUGGCGUAAUGAUGGCCAGGCUGUCUCCACCCGAGACUCAGUGAAAUUGAACUCGCUGUGAAGAUGCAGUGUACCCGCGGCAAGACGGAAAGACCCCGUGAACCUUUACUAUAGCUUGACACUGAACAUUGAGCCUUGAUGUGUAGGAUAGGUGGGAGGCUUUGAAGUGUGGACGCCAGUCUGCAUGGAGCCAACCUUGAAAUACCACCCUUUAACGUUUGAUGUUCUAACCUAGGCCCAUAAACUGGGUCGGGGACCGUGUCUGGUGGGUAGUUUGACUGGGGCGGUCUCCUCCUAAAGAGUAACGGAGGAGCACGAAGGUUGGCUAAGCAUGGUCGGACAUCAUGCGGUUAGUGCAAAGGCAUAAGCCAGCUUGACUGCGAGAGUGACGGCUCGAGCAGGUACGAAAGUAGGUCUUAGUGAUCCGGUGGUUCUGAAUGGAAGGGCCAUCGCUCAACGGAUAAAAGGUACUCCGGGGAUAACAGGCUGAUACCGCCCAAGAGUUCAUAUCGACGGCGGUGUUUGGCACCUCGAUGUCGGCUCAUCACAUCCUGGGGCUGAAGUAGGUCCCAAGGGUAUGGCUGUUCGCCAUUUAAAGUGGUACGCGAGCUGGGUUUAGAACGUCGUGAGACAGUUCGGUCCCUAUCUGCCGUGGGCGUUGGAAGAUUGAGAGGGGUUGCUCCUAGUACGAGAGGACCGGAGUGAACGCACCACUGGUGUUCGGGUUGUCAUGCCAAUGGCAUUGCCCGGUAGCUAAGUGCGGAAGAGAUAACCGCUGAAAGCAUCUAAGCGGGAAACUUGCCUCGAGAUGAGUCUUCCCUGUCGCUUUAAGCGACCUAAAGGAACGUUUAAGACUAAGACGUUGAUAGGCUGGGUGUGUAAGCGUAGCGAUACGUUGAGCUAACCAGUACUAAUGAACCGUGAGGCUUAACCUGACAACACCGAAAGUGUUUUG